rnacentral:rRNA from 1 species
UUGAACGCUGGCGGCAGGCCUAACCCCUGCAAGUCGAGCGGAUGAAGGGAGCUUGCUCCUGGCUUCAGCGGCGGACGGGUGAGUAAUGCCUAGGAAUCUGCCUGGUAGUGGGGGAUAACGUCCGGAAACGGGCGCUAAUACCGCAUACGUCCUGAGGGAGAAAGUGGGGGAUCUUCGGACCUCACGCUAUCAGAUGAGCCUAGGUCGGAUUAGCUAGUUGGUGGGGUAAAGGCCUACCAAGGCGACGAUCCGUAACUGGUCUGAGAGGAUGAUCAGUCACACUGGAACUGAGACACGGUCCAGACUCCUACGGGAGGCAGCAGUGGGGAAUAUUGGACAAUGGGCGAAAGCCUGAUCCAGCCAUGCCGCGUGUGUGAAGAAGGUCUUCGGAUUGUAAAGCACUUUAAGUUGGGAGGAAGGGCAGUAAGUUAAUACCUUGCUGUUUUGACGUUACCAACAGAAUAAGCACCGGCUAACUUCGUG